rnacentral:rRNA from 1 species
GACAGAGGGUGCAAACGUUGUUCGGAAUUACUGGGCGUAAAGCGCGUGUAGGCUGUUUUGCAAGUCGGAUGUGAAAGCCCUGGGCUCAACCUAGGAAGUGCACUCGAAACUGCAGAACUGGAGUCCUGGAGAGGAAGGCGGAAUUCUCGGUGUAGAGGUGAAAUUCGUAGAUAUCGAGAGGAACACCGGUGGCGAAGGCGGCCUUCUGGACAGUGACUGACGCUGAGACGCGAAAGCGUGGGGAGCAAACAGG